AGUGAACGCUGGCGGUAGGCCUAACACAUGCAAGUCGAACGGCAGCACAGUAAGAGCUUGCUCUUACGGGUGGCGAGUGGCGGACGGGUGAGGAAUACAUCGGAAUCUACUUUUUCGUGGGGGAUAACGUAGGGAAACUUACGCUAAUACCGCAUACGACCUACGGGUGAAAGCAGGGGAUCUUCGGACCUUUCGCGAUUGAAUGAGCCGAUGUCGGAUUAGCUAGUUGGCGGGGUAAAGGCCCACCAAGGCGACGAUCCGUAGCUGGUCUGAGAGGAUGAUCAGCCACACUGGAACUGAGACACGGUCCAGACUCCUACGGGAGGCAGCAGUGGGGAAUAUUGGACAAUGGGCGCAAGCCUGAUCCAGCCAUACCGCGUGGGUGAAGAAGGCCUUCGGGUUGUAAAGCCCUUUUGUUGGGAAAGAAAAGCAGCAGGUUAAUACCCCGCUGUUCUGACGGUGCCCAAAGAAUAAGCACCGGCUAACUUCGU
rnacentral:rRNA from 1 species